rnacentral:other from 1 species
ACAACCCUGCAGUGUUCGAGACUAAACGGAGUUCUGUCCUUUACUCUUUUAAAAUCGGGAGCUGAAACCUUGAAGGUGGCUGUCCAGCCGUCAACCGGAAGGCAAAAACUGCCAAGGAAGCGCCCACCUUAAUCUUAAAAGGCCUAAGAACUCCCCCUUAUACGGCACAUGUGGGGCCUCA